rnacentral:tRNA from 2 species
GGCUUUAUAGUAUAAAUUAAAACGUCGGAUUGCAAAUCUGAAGAUGUGCUGAAGCACUACAGCUU